rnacentral:rRNA from 1 species
UGAGCGGCGGACGGGUGAGUAACGCGUGGGUAACCUGCCUCAUACAGGGGGAUAACAGUUAGAAAUGACUGCUAAUACCGCAUAAGACCACGGUACCGCAUGGUACAGUGGUAAAAACUCCGGUGGUAUGAGAUGGACCCGCGUCUGAUUAGGUAGUUGGUGGGGUAACGGCCUACCAAGCCGACGACCAGUAGCCGACCUGAGAGGGUGAUCGGCCACAUUGGGACUGAGACACGGCCCAG